UUAAUAAAAUCUUCAAAAAUUAUUAGGUCCUAAAAAUGAUUAAGUUAUAUUGAUAACUAAUUCAUAGCCUCCCAUUAAGUGAGUGAUAAUGAGUCCAUUAGUUUAAUAAUCAUUGAAGGCCCAAAGGCCUGGUGCUUAUUGACUAAUGGAAUUAUCAUUCAUAGUAUGAUAAUUUGGUUUGAGUCUUUCUGAUGGUGGUUAGGUUGGCCGACCAAAGUCGGGCUUGAUCAUUUAUUGGUUUGAUUCACCAAAUUAAAUCAUGUUAAUGGUUGGACCUAACCAGAUUUUUUCAGUGGAGGUCAAAGCCUACUGAUUAGGUUCUGGGGCAAAAUUAAUUACUAGAAGUUGUUUAGAGAAACAACUGGUUAUGAACCUACCCAUAGAUGCACAUGGGUUGACCAACCAAAGUUGGGCUCGUGUGUAGUCUGUGUGGAUUCUAGUACCCACUAAGG
rnacentral:lncRNA from 1 species